rnacentral:rRNA from 1 species
GGUUAAUGAGGCGAACCGGGGGAACUGAAACAUCUAAGUACCCCGAGGAAAAGAAAUCAACCGAGAUUCCCCCAGUAGCGGCGAGCGAACGGGGAGCAGCCCAGAGCCUGAAUCAGUGUGUGUGUUAGUGGAAGCGUCUGGAAAGGCGCGCGAUACAGGGUGACAGCCCCGUACACAAAAAUGCACAUGCUGUGAGCUCGAUGAGUAGGGCGGGACACGUGGUAUCCUGUCUGAAUAUGGGGGGACCAUCCUCCAAGGCUAAAUACUCCUGACUGACCGAUAGUGAACCAGUACCGUGAGGGAAAGGCGAAAAGAACCCCGGCGAGGGGAGUGAAAAAGAACCUGAAACCGUGUACGUACAAGCAGUGGGAGCACGCUUAGGCGUGUGACUGCGUACCUUUUGUAUAAUGGGUCAGCGACUUAUAUUCUGUAGCAAGGUUAACCGAAUAGGGGAGCCGAAGGGAAACCGAGUCUUAACUGGGCGUUAAGUUGCAGGGUAUAGACCCGAAACCCGGUGAUCUAGCCAUGGGCAGGUUGAAGGUUGGGUAACACUAACUGGAGGACCGAACCGACUAAUGUUGAAAAAUUAGCGGAUGACUUGUGGCUGGGGGUGAAAGGCCAAUCAAACCGGGAGAUAGCUGGUUCUCCCCGAAAGCUAUUUAGGUAGCGCCUCGUGAAUUCAUCUCCGGGGGUAGAGCACUGUUUCGGCAAGGGGGUCAUCCCGACUUACCAACCCGAUGCAAACUGCGAAUACCGGAGAAUGUUAUCACGGGAGACACACGGCGGGUGCUAACGUCCGUCGUGAAGAGGGAAACAACCCAGACCGCCAGCUAAGGUCCCAAAGUCAUGGUUAAGUGGGAAACGAUGUGGGAAGGCCCAGACAGCCAGGAUGUUGGCUUAGAAGCAGCCAUCAUUUAAAGAAAGCGUAAUAGCUCACUGGUCGAGUCGGCCUGCGCGGAAGAUGUAACGGGGCUAAACCAUG